rnacentral:snRNA from 1 species
GUGCUCGCUUUGGCAGCACAUGUACUAAAAUUGGAACAAUACUGAGAAGAUUAGCGUGGCUCCUGCACAAGGAUGAUAUGCAAAUUCAUGAAGCAUUCCAUAUUUUA